rnacentral:rRNA from 1 species
GACGUAGGGGGCGAGCGUGGUCCGGAUUUAUUGGGCGUAAAGGGCGCGUAGGCGGCCUUCUAAGUCAGACGUGAAAUCCCCCGGCUUAACCUGGGAACUGCGUCUGAUACUGGGAGGCUUGAGUAUGGGAGAGGGAUGUAGAAUUCCAGGUGUAGCGGUGAAAUGCGUAGAUAUCUGGAGGAAUACCGGUGGCGAAGGCGGCAUCCUGGACCAUUACUGACGCUGAGGCGCGAAAGCUAGGGGAGCAAACGGG